UUACUCCUUGUGCGGAUGUGAUAUCUCUUUUCAGUCUCAGUCGACGGUGGACUUGGCGACGGCAGCUCAUAGAUGGAAGUACUCCGCCGGCCAACACUUCCACUCGUCGCCGUCGGGCCACUCCCAUCCACCAGGUGCCUAGCUGCUGGCCGAGCCAGACAAAUGGAGCUGGAAGAUGAAGCCGAUAUUUGGGCGCCCAUUUUGGCUCAUCCUCUUGACCAGUCACCAUCUUCUGAUGUUAUUUUUCUUCCGAGCCAGGCGACACUCUGCAACGUGUCGUCCCAGUAAGUCAACAACAAUAUAUGAUUCUAAUAUGUUUUUUGUAAAAGGGAAGUUAAACCUCUGGUCUCUGCAUAUAAGAUUCUAAUAUGAAUUAUAUAAUAAUAUAUGUGAUCCUAAAGAAGACUGAAUGCGGGUA